GGUUAAGUGACUAAGCGUACACGGUGGAUGCCUUGGCAGUCAGAGGCGAUGAAAGACGUAGUAACUUGCGAUAAGCCCAGAUUAGGUAGUAACAACCAUUUGAGUCUGGGAUUUCUGAAUGGGGAAACCCACGUGCAUAAGCACGUAUCCUUACCUGAAUACAUAGGGUAAGGAGGCGAACCGGGGGAACUGAAACAUCUAAGUACCCCGAGGAAAAGAAAUCAACCGAGAUUCCGAAAGUAGCGGCGAGCGAAAUUGGACUAGCCCUUAAGCUUUACACGCGUUAGACGAACGGUCUGGAAAGUCCGACGAUACAGGGUGAUAGUCCCGUAGUUGACGACGUGUGUUCAGUGAAAUCGAGUAGGGCGGGACACGUGAUAUCCUGUCUGAAUAUGGGGGGACCAUCCUCCAAGGCUAAAUACUACUGACUGACCGAUAGUGAACCAGUACCGUGAGGGAAAGGCGAAAAGAACCCCUGUGAGGGGAGUGAAAUAGAACCUGAAACCGUGUACGUACAAGCAGUAGGAGCAGGCUUUGUCCUGUGACUGCGUACCUUUUGUAUAAUGGGUCAGCGACUUAUAUUCAGUGGCAAGGUUAACCAUCUAGGGGAGCCGUAGGGAAACCGAGUCUUAACUGGGCGUUCAGUCUCUGGAUAUAGACCCGAAACCAGGUGAUCUAGCCAUGGGCAGGUUGAAGGUUGAGUAACAUCAACUGGAGGACCGAACCGACUAAUGUUGAAAAAUUAGCGGAUGACUUGUGGCUAGGGGUGAAAGGCCAAUCAAACCUGGAGAUAGCUGGUUCUCCCCGAAAGCUAUUUAGGUAGCGCCUCGGACGAAUACUACUGGGGGUAGAGCACUGUUAAGGCUAGGGGGUCAUCCCGACUUACCAACCCUUUGCAAACUCCGAAUACCAGUAAGUACUAUCCGGGAGACACACGGCGGGUGCUAACGUCCGUCGUGGAGAGGGAAACAACCCAGACCGCCAGCUAAGGUCCCAAAUUACUACUAAGUGGGAAACGAUGUGGGAAGGCUCAGACAGCCAGGAUGUUGGCUUAGAAGCAGCCAUCAUUUAAAGAAAGCGUAAUAGCUCACUGGUCGAGUCGGCCUGCGCGGAAGAUGUAACGGGGCUAAGUAGUAAACCGAAGCUGCGGCAAUGUGCUUUUGCACAUUGGGUAGGGGAGCGUUCUGUAAGCGGUUGAAGGUGUGUGGUAACGCAUGCUGGACGUAUCAGAAGNGCGCGGAAGAUGUAACGGGGCUAAGUAGUAAACCGAAGCUGCGGCAAUAUACUUUUGUAUAUUGGGUAGGGGAGCGUUCUGUAAGCGGUUGAAGGUGUGUGGUAACGCAUGCUGGACGUAUCAGAAGUGCGAAUGCUGACAUGAGUAACGAUAAAGGGGGUGAAAAACCUCCUCGCCGGAAGACCAAGGGUUCCUGUCCAACGUUAAUCGGGGCAGGGUAAGUCGACCCCUAAGGCGAGGCCGAAAGGCGUAGUCGAUGGGAAACGGGUUAAUAUUCCCGUACUUCUUACAAUUGCGAUGGGGGGACGGAGAAGGCUAGGUGGGCCUGGCGACGGUUGUCCAGGUUCAAGUGCGUAGGCUUAAGAGUUAGGUAAAUCCGGCUCUUUUUAAGGCUGAGACACGACGUCGAGCAUCUACGGAUNCGGCUCUUUUUAAGGCUGAGACACGACGUCGAGCUACUACGGUAGUGAAGUCAUUGAUGCCAUGCUUCCAGGAAAAGCCUCUAAGCUUCAGAUUGUAAGGAAUCGUACCCCAAACCGACACAGGUGGUCGGGUAGAGAAUACCAAGGCGCUUGAGAGAACUCGGGUGAAGGAACUAGGCAAAAUGGUACCGUAACUUCGGGAGAAGGUACGCUCUCGACGGUGAAGUCCCUCGCGGAUGGAGCUAUUGAGAGUCGCAGAUACCAGGUGGCUGCAACUGUUUAUUAAAAACACAGCACUGUGCAAAAUCGUAAGAUGACGUAUACGGUGUGACGCCUGCCCGGUGCCGGAAGGUUAAUUGAUGGGGUUAGACUUCGGUCGAAGCUCUUGAUCGAAGCCCCGGUAAACGGCGGCCGUAACUAUAACGGUCCUAAGGUAGCGAAAUUCCUUGUCGGGUAAGUUCCGACCUGCACGAAUGGCGUAAUGAUGGCCACGCUGUCUCCACCCGAGACUCAGUGAAAUUGAAAUCGCUGUGAAGAUGCAGUGUACCCGCGGCUAGACGGAAAGACCCCGUGAACCUUUACUACAGCUUGGCACUGAACAUUGACCCUACAUGUGUAGGAUAGGUGGGAGGCUUUGAAGCACGUACGCCAGUAUGUGUGGAGCCGUCCUUGAAAUACCACCCUUGUAGUGUUGAUGUUCUAACGUCGACCCCUUAUCGGGGUUGCGGACAGUGCCUGGUGGGUAGUUUGACUGGGGCGGUCUCCUCCCAAAGAGUAACGGAGGAGCACGAAGGUGGGCUAAUCACGGUUGGACAUCGUGAGGUUAGUGCAAUGGCAUAAGCCCGCUUGACUGCGAGAAUGACAAUUCGAGCAGGUGCGAAAGCAGGUCAUAGUGAUCCGGUGGUUCUGAAUGGAAGGGCCAUCGCUCAACGGAUAAAAGGUACUCCGGGGAUAACAGGCUGAUACCGCCCAAGAGUUCAUAUCGACGGCGGUGUUUGGCACCUCGAUGUCGGCUCAUCACAUCCUGGGGCUGAAGUCGGUCCCAAGGGUAUGGCUGUUCGCCAUUUAAAGUGGUACGCGAGCUGGGUUUAGAACGUCGUGAGACAGUUCGGUCCCUAUCUGCCGUGGGCGUUGGAAGAUUGAAGGGGGCUGCUCCUAGUACGAGAGGACCGGAGUGGACGAACCUCUGGUGUUCGGGUUGUGUCGCCAGACGCAUUGCCCGGUAGCUAAGUUCGGAAUCGAUAACCGCUGAAAGCAUCUAAGCGGGAAGCGAGCCCUGAGAUGAGUCUUCCCUGAUACUUUAAGUAUCCUAAAGGGUUGUCGGAGACUACGACGUUGAUAGGUCAGGUGUGUAAGUGCUGUGAGGCAUUGAGCUAACUGAUACUAAUUGCCCGUGAGGCUUAACCAU
rnacentral:rRNA from 1 species